CACGGCCCAGACUCCUACGGGAGGCAGCAGUGGGGAAUUUUCCGCAAUGGGCGCAAGCCUGACGGAGCAACGCCGCGUGUGGGAUGAAGGCCUGUGGGUUGUAAACCACUUUUCUCAGGGACGAACACAAUGACGGUACCUGAGGAAUCAGCCUCGGCUAACUCUGUGCCAGCAGCCGCGGUAAGACAGAGGAGGCAAGCGUUAUCCGGAAUUAUUGGGCGUAAAGCGUCCGUAGGUGGUCUAGCAAGUCUGGGGUUAAAGCCCGGAGCCCAACUCCGGAUCGGCCUUGGAAACUGCCAGACUCGAGUAAGGUAGGGGUUGCGGGAAUUCCCGGUGUAGCGGUAAAAUGCGUAGAUAUCGGGAAGAACACCAGCGGCGAAAGCGCGCAACUGGGCCAUUACUGACACUGAGGGACGAAAGCUAGGGGAGCGAAUGGGAUUAGAUACCCCAGUAGUCCUAGCCGUAAACGAUGGUGACUAGAUGUGGCUCGUAUUGACCCGAGCCGUGUCGUAGCUAACGCGAUAAGUCACCCGCCUGGGGAGUACGCACGCAAGUGUGAAACUCAAAGGAAUUGACGGGGGCCCGCACAAGCGGUGGAGCAUGUGGAUUAAUUCGAUGCAACGCGAAGAACCUUACCAGGGCUUGACAUCCUGCGAACCCCGCUGAAAGGUGGGGGUGCCUUCGGGAGCGCAGAGACAGGUGGUGCAUGGCUGUCGUCAGCUCGUGUCGUGAGAUGUUGGGUUAAGUCCCGCAACGAGCGCAACCCGCGUCCUUAGUUGCCAGCAUUUAGUUGGGCACUCUGGGGAGACUGCCGGUGACAAGCCGGAGGAAGGUGCGGAUGACGUCAAGUCAGCAUGCCCCUUACCGCCCUGGGCGUCACACGUGCUACAAUGGCCAGCACAAAGGGUAGCCAGCCAG
rnacentral:rRNA from 1 species